rnacentral:lncRNA from 1 species
CUUUACCAGAUCUUACUUUCAAAUAGGCAGAUAAUUCUGGAGCUGAAAUAUAAAACCAGAUUUGUCUGACUCUACCACAGCGCUGUCCUGCUGUCCUACUAUCCAUCCUUAUGGAAUUUGAAUCAUCGAGAACUAAAACUACUCUUCUUCCUGAAGCCCUGCAAACUGAAGCUGGAUGACGUGAUAUAAACUUCAGAGAUAUCACCACAAUAGCCCAUGUUAGACAAUGUUUAUGCCUCUUGCUGUAUAAGGCACUCAGAAAGUUUACCUGAACACUGAUGACAUCAUAAGAGGCAUUUCAAAC